UGAGGGAGUUUAGGAAAGUGGAUGAAUUUCUGCCAUAGGACUGACUAGACUUUUGGGAUGACUGGAACAUCCUGAGAAAGCCCCGAUGCUGUGGUGAAAAGCCCGAGAUUCCUGCCUUCAGCGCAGCCGUUUCCAACGUCACCUGCUUCCAAGACAAGGGCCAGAUCUGUCCCGUGCUCACCUCUCUUCCAGAUGACUUUCUGUAGCUGGACUCGGGGGUAAGGAGCUGGAGAGCUUCUUCUGGCCGGUUCCCAGAGUGGCCACUUUCCCCGACUCCUCCCCCAGCCCGAUGCCUUCUUGAGCCACCGCUUUCGCCCGGACGGUCUGGAACACCUCCAGAACUCCAGGAUCCCGAAUGACCUCGGCAUUGAUUAUCGCUACGGAUAUCUGAGAAGAAAGGAUGCAGAUGAAAGACGGUCUCGGAAGGGGUUACAGUAGGAGAACAGGCCCUGGAGAAUCGAAAUCAUCGAAAACAAAGACUCAAGAUACAGCUUAAAGAGCUUCAUCAUUAUUAAUUUAGGAAGCUAAAGAGGGUCGAAGACAACAUGAAAAGGGCAGUAGAGAAAUCACAAUGAAAGGAACCGAAAUGCACAACGGUAAAAAUAUCUGCAAAACAAGCAGAAUGUCGACACUCUC